rnacentral:misc_RNA from 1 species
GAUGAAGAACGUAGCGAAAUCCGAUACUUGGUGUGAAUUGCAGAAUCCCGUGAACCAUCGAGUCUUUGAACGCAAGUUGCGCCUCAAGCCAUUAGGUUGAGGGCACGUCUGCCUGGGCGUCACAUAUCGUUGCCUGAUGCCAGUUUCCUCGUGAUGGGUGACUGUGCAGGGCGAAUGAUGGCUUCCCGUGAGCAUUGUUGCCUCAUGGUUGGUUGAAAAUUGAGUCCUUGGUAGGGAGCGCCGUGAUAGAUGGUGGUUGAGUGACGAACGAGACCCAAUCAUGUGAGACCCCUACCGAAUUUGGCCUUCAUGACCCACAUGCGUCUUUGGAACGCUCAUGACGAGACCUCAGGUCAGGCGGGGCUACCCGCUGAGUUUAAGCAUAUCAAUAAGCGGAGGA